CCCUUUGUACACACCGCCCGUCGCUACUACCGAUUGAAUGGCUUAGUGAGGCCUUGGGAUUGGCAUUGAGGAGCCGGCAACGGCACCUCGUUGCUGAGAACUUGGUCAAACUUGGUCAUUUAGAGGAAGUAAAAGUCGUAACAAGGUUUCCGUAGGUGAACCUGCGGAAGGAUCAUUAUCGAGUUUUGAAACGGGUUGUAGCUGGCCUUUCACAAGGCAUGUGCACGCCUGGCUCAUCCACUCUUCAACCUCUGUGCACUUGUUGUAGGUCGGUGAAAGGCUUUUGCGUCUCACGAUGCUUAAGCUGGAAGCCUUCCUAUGUUUUUACUACAAACGCUUCAGUUAUAGAAUGUCUUUUUUUGCGUGUAACGCAAUUAUAUACAACUUUCAGCAACGGAUCUCUUGGCUCUCGCAUCGAUGAAGAACGCAGCGAAAUGCGAUAAGUAAUGUGAAUUGCAGAAUUCAGUGAAUCAUCGAAUCUUUGAACGCACCUUGCGCUCUCUGGUAUUCCGGAGAGCAUGCCUGUUUGAGUAUCAUGGUAUUCUCAACCUUCAAUACUUUUUUGUAUCGAAGGCUUGGACUUGGAGGUUGUGCUGGCUCUUGUUGGUCGGCUCCUCUGAAAUGCAUUAGCGUGAAUGUUACGGAUCGCUUCAGUGUGAUAAUUAUCUGCGCUGUAGUCGUGAAGUAUAUGAAGUUUGCGCUUCUAAUCGUCCUUCACGGGACAAUUUACUUAUGACAUCUGAUCUCAAAUCAGGCAGGACUACCCGCUGAACUUAAGCAUAUCAAUAAGCGGAGGAAAAGAAACUAACAAGGAUUCCCCUAGUAACUGCGAGUGAAGCGGGAAAAGCUCAAAUUUAAAAUCUGGCAGUCUUUGGCUGUCCGAGUUGUAGUCUGGAGAAGCGUCUUCCGCGCUGGACCGUGUACAAGUCUCCUGGAACGGAGCGUCAUAGAGGGUGAGAAUCCCGUCUUUGACACGGACUACCAGUGCUUUGUGAUGCGCUCUCAAGAGUCG
rnacentral:rRNA from 1 species